GUGUCUUAUUCUUUUUGGUUUUCUCCUCUAAACCAAUAUUAACCGAACUCAAAUCAAUUCUAAUUUCAAAACCAAUGUAAACCCAUCGCUGUGAGUGUGACGCCGCCGGCGAAAACCAAAAAACUCGGCGACCGUAACAACAAAAAUGGAGACGACACAGAGGUCUCUGUUUUUGAUUCUUCAGUGGUCAAUUUUGUGAUGGGAUUCGAUUGAAAUUGGAGAAUGAUUUCAUGAAAUAUCUUCAGGCUGAGGCUAUAGAGAGUGGUGAACUGGAGGCUACCAAGCCUUUGCCUUGGUACCCUAAGAAUCUUGCUUGGCAUUCUAAUUUUUCACGCAAGGAGAUUAGCAAAAACCAGAUACUUGAGAGGUUUCAUGAGUUUCUAAAGUUAGAAACUGAAGUUGGGAACAUGACAAGGCAAGAAUCAGUUAGCAUGAUCAUUUUGUUCUCGACAGUAAGUCACUUCAAUUCGACAUUGUUUGAGAUGGCUGUGGACUUGAGAAGUAAUGGUUAACGGAUUCACUUUAUUUCAAACCGUAUGAUUCACCGUGACAUGAAGCCACAAAACAUUCUUAUUGGUGCUGGGUCUGUAGUUAAGAAAACUAAGUUAAUCAUGUAAGUACUAGAAGAGGAUACGGCUAGCCAGGAAUCUCAUAUACUUAGCUAAAUAUAAGUAGAAACCUAUGUUAUUAUAUUGUAGGUGGAGAAACUCAUCUGAGUUGUCGUACUUCAACUCCUAUUGUUAUGAAAGCUAUUACAUCUAUAAAUGUGAUGAUUGUGAUGGCUUUUCUUUCAUAGUUUCUUAUUUUUUCUUUAUUCUUGUGUUAUGCACAUUUCACUGCACUUGAUAUGGUUCUAAUUAAUCUCCUGUGUUACAUCAGAUACGAGUUAUAUGUAGGUCAACCUCCCUUCUACACCAAUUCUGUGUAUGCUCUCAUUCGUCACAUUGUUAAGGAUCCUGUCAAAUAUCCUGAUGAAAUGAGUCCUUAUUUCAAAAGCUUUUUGAAAGGAUUGCUCAACAAGGAACCUAGAAAUCGAUUAACCUGGCCUGCUCUUCGUGAGCACCCCUUCGUUAAAGAAUCACAAGAAGAAGUUGAAGCCAGGGAAAUCCAAACUGCAGUAGUUGACCAUAAGGCAGCUUGGAUGCUCAAAGGAAAUGGAGGGCAACAGAGAAAUGAAAAGUGCGACUCUGUGACCCUGGCUGAGAACAUGUCUGCAACAAAAGGUCUAGCUGACGUUCAGUCAGAUAUGAAGAGUGCUGUCAAUGUAAAUUCUCCACCCCCCUGAGGAUUUUCUUGGAUUCCCAACCCAAGAGGAGAUAAAAAAUCAGGUAACGCAACACUGGACAAAUUGGAAAAUACAUCCCGCACUGUUAAAGGUGCAAAAGUUAUAGGUGAAAAUGAUAAAGCAUUGGAUCCUGUCUAAAAGCACUGGAAAUAUUUUCAAAAUCACCAGAUUCUAAAAGGGACAAAGAUGUUGCUUGCUCUGUUCAGUCCCUCAGGAUCAUUUCCAAUUUGGUUGCAGCUCGUGCCAUAGUUUCAGUUGGACUGACUGAGAAAAUAACGUCUGCACUACUAUGAAGAGAAAAUGUUUAGUUUUUUCAAUCUUCCUUAUACGUAUACAUACAAUCUGAAUUUUUUCAAUUGUUGUAUCUAAAACACACAAUUUUAUAAGAAGAGGAGGAGGAGAGGAGCUACAUGUCUACUA